rnacentral:rRNA from 1 species
UGGGGAAUUUUGGACAAUGGGCGAAAGCCUGAUCCAGCAAUGCCGCGUGUGUGAAGAAGGCCUUCGGGUUGUAAAGCACUUUUGUCCGGAAAGAAAUCCUCUGGGUUAAUACCUCGGGGGGAUGACGGUACCGGAAGAAUAAGCACCGGCUAACUACGUGCCAGCAGCCGCGGUAAUACGUAGGGUGCAAGCGUUAAUCGGAAUUACUGGGCGUAAAGCGUGCGCAGGCGGUUUUGUAAGACGGAUGUGAAAUCCCCGGGCUUAACCUGGGAACUGCAUUCGUGACUGCAAGGCUAGAGUAUGGCAGAGGGGGGUAGAAUUCCACGUGUAGCAGUGAAAUGCGUAGAGAUGUGGAGGAAUACCGAUGGCGAAGGCAGCCCCCUGGGCCAAAUACUGACGCUCAUGCACGAAAGCGUGGGGAGCAAAACAGGAUUAGAUACCCUGGUAGUCCACGCCCUAAAACGAUGUCAACUAGUUGUUGGGGAUUCAUUUCCUUAGUAACGUAGCUAACGCGUGAAGUUGACCGCCUGGGGAGUACGGUCGCAAGAUUAAAACUUAAAUGAAUUGACGGGGUCAUAGCUGUUUCCU